AACCUUUGUCAACUCUGUAUGCGUUUUCUGACUGCCUGUGUAGUCAUCUGACAACUUGAGAAGCAGGAACAAAGCACUGGCAAGGCUGACAAAUCCUGCAGAUGCAGCAAGGAAGCAAAGAAAGCACAAAAGAAGUCUAUAAUGAUCGAAAGCCAAAGGGAAAAGAAAAGGAUCGUGGCCAAAUAGUGUCAAAUACCUGCUCCUCCCAAUAAUUUUAGUAGAGGCUCUCUUGCAAGAUCUGUCAUCAAGCAUAGAAGAUAUUGCUACACCACAACUCCUGACGUAUUUUCUACCUGCUUUGAAAGACACGGAGAUAUUAAACUGGAUGGACAAACCUGAAUGGCACAAAUACCAGAGGAACAGAUGGCAUGGAAGAUAAGUCCUCCCUGCCUGAACUGGGAAAGGAAAAAGAUACCCGUCUUGAGGAUCAACUCCAAGCAUGAAUUUGGAGUGACAUUCACCAUUCAAGCAAUGGUUCCAGUGCUCUUCCUCCUUUUAAGGAUGCACUGCUCUCCUUUACUUGUAUGCUAAGGCCUGACUCCCUCUCUCUUACUUUGAUAUUACCGCUGGUGACAGAACACAAGCAGUGCUGAAAUAGAGCUUGAUCUUCUAAGAUUUCUGCUCUCUGAGAUAAUCACAGACAAUUCUUGACUUUCAUCUGUGUGCUUAUCAUUUAGAAAUGAGCCAUCGGAUCAUGGUAAUCAAAAUAUAGCCUUAUGGAAUUCUGCGUUACUGAGCAAUAUUUGUGUUACCUUAUUGCAAUGGUACGUGUCGGACCAGAUACCUCCACGAGCUUCUCUCUUCUUCAUUAACUGGCAAGAUCUGCUGAUCUUGUGCAACAGGACUCUCCUGCCACCACAUCACCCAGUUCCAGAAGAGGGAUAGGCUGGUCACUAAACAUCCCAUCUUUUGCUACCUUCAGAUGCCCCUUGAGCUCAAGGCAUUGCUGUGGAGGCUCCUUCUAAUAGCAACCACUUAGAAAAUGGAAAUCCGACAAGGAAACUUACCUGUUUUCUCAUAUCCUCUGGCCACAAACAGAAGGAAAAAUAGUCUUAAAGUACUAUCUUCUGAGCACAAUUCAAAUUAAAAAAAAAAAAAAACUAAGAAAAAAAGAGAUCUCUGCACGUGUCACUGGAAAUAUGAUGUUAUUAGAGAAGCUGACAACCUAUCCACACCAGUGCUCUCCAAUACUGUCCGAGAAGAACAGAGAGGAACAGAAAUAGCAGAGGUCCACAGAAGGGUAAUAAAAAUAACAAAGACAUUUAGCGGCCUUCCACAUGACUGCACUUGUUUCAUUUGGGAAAUCUGAAUUUAAACAGUGAGAUAGUAAAAUUGAUCCUUCCUAGCCUUCAUAUAAAAGCAACAGUGCAACUGAUGAAUUGAGAAGUAAAGCCACUUGCAGCUGAUAACACUUCUUCACGGAGUACACAAUUCACUCCUGAUAUUCUAUGACACCAGUUGAGAAGAAUGAAACAGAGAAAUUUUAAAUACCAGCAUAUUUCCUCACUGUGCUAUUCCAAAUGAAAACUAUUACAAAUGAUAAUCAGAAAGCAAGCAACAAGGCAUCUGGGCUAAGAAAAGUGUCAUCCAAAGACAGAAAAGUGGCAAAAUUACAAAAAGGAAGAAACAGUAAGACCCUGGCUUCUAUGAGAUUCUCAAGUUUCCAUUAUAAACCUAGGAGUAGCAAAUAGAAUCAGCAGACUCUUUACAGAUAAGAGAGCUGGAGGCAACCUGGUACUGCCAUGAGUACAAUACCACCAUAGUCAGUGAAGCUCUCCACUCCAACUGAUGCACUGUUUGCUAAAACACAAAGACAUCCACCUCAGUGAAGAGGGGGCAAGCCCUCUGGAAAGGAUUUCUGAUAGCAGGUACUCUGGUGUUCAAAGCUGAACCUCUUACCUUCUGGCACAGCCGGCUCUUGACAGCAGAUUUCCUAACAGAUGCCAAGCUAUUCCUAUCAGUUUAACCCCAACAGGACAUUCCUGUUACCCAUAUUAAUCUUAGUAGAUGAGAUGCUGAAGGUUCAGUAGAAAAUACCAAUUAAGCAUUGGUGAUGGGUGGAUGGGUGAUCCUGUGGAUCUUUUCCGACCUUGGUGAUUCUAUGAUUCCAUGAUUCUGUGAUCUUUUCUUUGAAGGACUCAUCUGCUGAAACUAAAGCUUCCUGCAAGAAUUGGGCUAUUUAUAGGUAUAUAAGUCUUGCUCAAAUAAAUAAAUAAAUAAAUAGCGUGAAAACAUUUUCUGAAAAUGCCACAAUACCUGUUACACAGAAGCUUCCCUGUUCCCAAACCUUCAUCAGAGUUCUCAACCACUCAGCUCAGCUUUGGUUUUGUGCCUGACAGAUCAAACUCACUGUUUUUCAUAGUUUGACCCUAAUACGCGGGGAAAGGAAAACUGCAACUACAGAUU
ensembl:lncRNA